rnacentral:rRNA from 1 species
AUUGAACGCUGGCGGAAUGCUAUACACAUGCAAGUCGAACGGCAGCACGGACUUCGGUCUGGUGGCGAGUGGCGAACGGGUGAGUAAUAUAUCGGAACGUGCCCAGUCGUGGGGGAUAACGUAGCGAAAGCUACGCUAAUACCGCAUACGAACUACGGAUGAAAGCGGGGGAUCGCAAGACCUCGCGCGAUUGGAGCGGCCGAUAUCAGAUUAGGUAGUUGGUGAGGUAAAAGCUCACCAAGACGACGAUCUGUAGCUGGUCUAAGAGGACGAACAGCCACACUGGGACUGAGACACGGCCCAGACUCCUACGGGAGGCAGCAGUGGGGAAUUUUGGACAAUGGACGCAAGUCUGAUCCAGCCAUUCCGCGUGCAGGACGAAGGCCUUCGGGUUGUAAACUGCUUUUGUACAGAACGAAAAGGUCUCUAUUAAUACUAGGGGCUCAUGACGGUACUGUAAGAAUAAGCACCGGCUAACUACGUGCCAGCAGCCGCCGUAA